rnacentral:rRNA from 1 species
AGCGAACGCUGGCGGCAGGCCUAACACAUGCAAGUCGAGCGCCGUAGCAAUACGGAGCGGCAGACGGGAGAGUAACACGUGGGAACGUGCCCCUCAGUUCGGAACAACCCAGGGAAACUGGGGCUAAUACCGGAUACGCCCUUACGGGGAAAGAUUUAUCGCUGAAGGAUCGGCCCGCGUCUGAUUAGCUUGUUGGUGAGGUAACGGCUCACCAAGGCUACGAUCAGUAGCCGGUCUGAGAGGAUGAUCAGCCUCACUGGGACUGAGACACGGCCCAGACUCCUACGGGAGGCAGCAGUGGGGAAGAUUGGACAAUGGGCGCAAGCCUGAUCCAGCCAUGCCGCGUGAGUGAUGAAGGCCUUAGGGUUGUAAAGCUCUUUCGGCGGGGAAGAUAAUGACGGUACCCGCAGAAGAAGCCCCGGCUAACUUCGUGCCAGCCGCCGCCGUAAGAC